CUUAUGCCGGCGACCGGCGGACGGGUGCGUAACGCGUAUGUAACCUACCUUUGACAGGGGGAUAACAUCGAGAAAUUGGUACUAAUACCCCAUAACAUCACCGGAGGCAUCUUCGGUGGUUGAAAACUUAGGUGGUCAGAGAUGGACAUGCGUUGUAUUAGCUAGUUGGUGAGGUAACGGCUCACCAAGGCGACGAUACAUAGGGGGACUGAGAGGUCAACCCCCCACAUUGGUACUGAGACACGGACCAAACUCCUACGGAAGGCAGCAG
rnacentral:rRNA from 1 species